rnacentral:lncRNA from 1 species
UCAAACCUACUAAUUGCAGUGAUUCUUGCCACACAUUCACACCCUUUACUUAUCUUUAAGGGAGAUCUCAUCUGCAAGAGCCAGCUGAGCCCAGUCCUGGCAGACACUGAGCACCACGGAUGACCAGCAUCUAAGCUAGAGACACAUGGGAGAAGUUGUGCAACCACAUGCAAGGCUGCAAUUUCUGAUGGUCAUGAACACAGGGAAAGAAACCCCAAGCACCCUGACAGACUAAUGACAAGCCUAAAGAAUCCAGGAAGUCAAGACUAAAACCUUUCCCAGCUUCCCCUGAAGUGCUCAAUGAAGCACCUCAAAUGUUGGAUACAAUCACGCACUUUCUUAAGCCACCUUGGAGGCAUAUUCCAAAAGCUUACCAAAGAGGAGCGAGUUCUUCAUGACUGUGUCCUACACUCAAGAGGGAUGAUAAUCUGACAAACUGCAGCCAUACCAUUGUGUGCUGGGCCAAGGUAGUCACACAUUAAUCUUUGUAUGAGCAGUGCUUCAUGUGGGCUGAAAAGUGAAUGAUAGAGACGUGCUCAGUUUGCAUUUGGUCACCUUAGAAGUCAUCCAUGGUCAUAUGAGAGAUGCUGGCCUGACAUGUAAAAGUAAAACUUUGUAGUGGAUUGAUGAUGGGGACAAAUAUGAACACUUGAUGGUAUAAACAGUCCUGCAAUAAAAUCAGAGACGUGGGCUAUUUAGGGGAUGCA